rnacentral:rRNA from 1 species
AACGAACGCUGGCGGCAUGCCUAACACAUGCAAGUCGAACGAGACCUUCGGGUCUAGUGGCGCACGGGUGCGUAACGCGUGGGAACCUGCCCUUAGGUUCGGAAUAACUCCCCGAAAGGGGUGCUAAUACCGGAUAAUGUCUUCGGACCAAAGAUUUAUCGCCUUUGGAUGGGCCCGCGUUGGAUUAGCUAGUUGGUAGGGUAAAAGCCUACCAAGGCGACGAUCCAUAGCUGGUCUGAGAGGAUGAUCAGCCACACUGGGACUGAGACACGGCCCAGACUCCUACGCAAGGGAGCAGUGGGGAAUAUUGGACAAUGGGCGAAAGCCUGAUCCAGCAAUGCGGCGUGAGUGAUGAAGGCCUUAGGGUUGUAAAGCUCUUUUACCCGGGAUGAUAAUGACAGUACCGGGAGAAUAAGCUCCGGCUAACUCCGUG